CUUCGUUGAUCCUGCCAGUAGUCAUAUGCUUGUCUCAAAGAUUAAGCCAUCCAUGUCUCAGUAUAGGCUGAAUUGAAUGAUCGGAAACCGCGAAUGGCUCAUUAAAUCAGUUAUGGUUUCUUGGAUCUAAUCCAAACUUACUUGGAUAACUGUGGUAAUUCUAGAGCUAAUACACACAAACGAAAUUCCUCUCAGAGAUGGGAGGAAUGCAUUUAUUCGAUCAAAACCAAUCGGUGGCGGAUGGCUCGCUAUCCGUACAUCGUCUGUUUUAGUGACUCUGAAUAACUUUAAGCCGAUCACAUGGUCAUCUAGCACCGGCGACGCAUCUUUAAAAUGUCUGCCUUAUCAACUCUCGAUGGUAGGUUCUGCGCUUACCAUGGUUGUAACGGGUAACGGAGAAUCAGGGUUCGAUUCCGGAGAGGGAGCCUGAAAAACAGCUACCACAUCCAAGGAAGACAGCAGUCGCGCAAAUUACCCACUCCCGGCACGGGGAGGUAGUGACGAAAAAUAACGAUACGAGACUUAUCCGAGGCCCCAUAAUCGGAAUGAGUACACUUUAAAUCUUUUAACGAAGACCAAUUAGAGGGCAAGUCUGGUGCCAGCAGCCGCGGUAAUUCCAGCUCCAAUAGCGUAUAUUAAAGUUGCGGUUAAAAUGCUCGCAGUUGGAUCUGUGUGUCACUGUCGGUUCACCGCUCGCGGUGUUUAACUGGCAUUAUGUGAUACGUCCUAUCAGUGGGCUUAGCUCCUCGCGGACGGUCCAACUAAUCUCCCAUCGCGGUGCUUUUCACUGAGUGUCGAGGUGGGCCGAUACGUUUACUUUGAACAAAUUAGAAUGCUUAAAGCAGGCUACCUUCGCCUGAAUACUUUGUGCAUGGAAUAAUGGAAUAGGACCUCGGUUCUGUUUUGUUGGUUUUCGGAGUCCCGAGGUAAUGAUUAAUGGGGACAGAUUGGGGCAUUCGUAUUGCGACGUUAGAGGUGAAAUUCUUCGAUCGUCGCAAGUCGGACAGAAGCGAAAGCAUUUGCCAAAAAUGUUUUCAUUAAUCAAGAACGAAAGUUAGAGGUUCGAAGGCGAUCAUACCUCCCUAUUUCUAACCAUAAACGAUGCCAGCGAUCCGCCGAAGUUCUUCAGAUGACUCGGCG
rnacentral:rRNA from 1 species